UAAAAUUGUUGCAGUUAAAAAGCUCGUAGUUGAAUUUCGGGGUCAGUUCGCUGGUCAUGCUUCUGGUAUGUACUGGUGUUUCUGAUUCCUCCCUUCUGACGAACUGUCAUGUCAUUAAUUUGGUGUGGCAGGGAAUCAGGACUGUUACUUUGAAAAAAUUAGAGUGUUUAAAGCAGGCUCGCGCUUGAAUACAUUAGCAUGGAAUAAUGAAAUAGGACGUUCGAUCCUAUUUUGUUGGUUUCUAGGAUUGACGCAAUGAUUAAUAGGG
rnacentral:rRNA from 1 species